rnacentral:rRNA from 1 species
GACGAACGCUGGCGGCGUGCUUAACACAUGCAAGUCGAACGGAAAGGCCCUGCUUUUGUGGGGUGCUCGAGUGGCGAACGGGUGAGUAACACGUGAGUAACCUGCCCUUGACUUGGGAUAACUUCAGGAAACUGGGGCUAAUACCGGAUAGGAGCUCCUGCUGCAUGGUGGGGGUUGGAAAGUUUCGGCGGUUGGGGAUGGACUCGCGGCUUAUCAGCUUGUUGGUGGGGUAGUGGCUUACCAAGGCUUUGACGGGUAGCCGGCCUGAGAGGGUGAUCGGCCACAUUGGGACUGAGAUACGGCCCAGACUCCUACGGGAGGCAGCAGUGGGGAAUAUUGCACAAUGGGCGGAAGCCUGAUGCAGCAACGCCGCGUGCGGGAUGACGGCCUUCGGGUUGUAAACCGCUUUCGCCUGUGACGAAGCGUGAGUGACGGUAAUGGGUAAAGAAGCACCGGCUAACUACGUG